rnacentral:tRNA from 2 species
UGCGGAUAUGGUCAAA